GAUGAACGCUGGCGGCGUGCCUAAUACAUGCAAGUCGAGCGAACAGACGAGGAGCUUGCUCCUUUGACGUUAGCGGCGGACGGGUGAGUAACACGUGGAUAACCUACCUAUAAGACUGGGAUAACUUCGGGAAACCGGAGCUAAUACCGGAUAAUAUUUCGAACCGCAUGGUUCGAUAGUGAAAGAUGGCUUUGCUAUCACUUAUAGAUGGACCUGCGCCGUAUUAGCUAGUUGGUAAGGUAACGGCUUACCAAGGCAACGAUACGUAGCCGACCUGAGAGGGUGAUCGGCCACACUGGAACUGAGACACGGUCCAGACUCCUACGGGAGGCAGCAGUAGGGAAUCGUCCGCAAUGGGCGAAAGCCUGACGGAGCAACGCCGCGUGAGUGAUGAAGGUCUUCGGAUCGUAAAACUCUGUUAUUAGGGAAGAACAAACGUGUAAGUAACUGUGCACGUCUUGACGGUACCUAAUCAGAAAGCCACGGCUAACUACGUG
rnacentral:rRNA from 1 species